AGCAAUUCAAUUGCUCUUCUUCUGGUCUAACUACUCUUGCAGAGAGACCCAAGCUUGCUAAUACAGUCUCUAAUAAGGCCAUGUGAACAAAAACAAAACAAAAUCAACCCUACCCUUAUAGAAUUUAAAAUCUUAAUAUUUGUUGUAUUUUUCUGGCUGUUGCAUGGUUCUGCACAGUCCUUCAGGAGUGCAGCUGAACCAGGCCAGGAAGGCGUGGCCUGUACGAGGUGUCCGCCCACAAAGACAACGCUGUCUCUGUCAUUGAGCACCAAACCUCGUGAUGUAAAAGGGCGCUCAAUACAACUGCAGUCUUCAACCAGCAACGUCCUGCAAGCACUGCUGCAUGGGCUUUAAAUGACGGGCAGAGGGGCAACGAAGUCACACCCUGCUCACGGAUGACUGGGUCGCUGUGGGAGAGACAUCACGCCUGCAUGCUCAAGCAAGACUAUAUGUCAAUCCAAAGGACUGCAAGGAUGAAAGGAAGGACAAACAAAGAAAGAAAGGUUAAGGAAAAGACGCAACCCGUUUGGGGAUGCGAUGAUGGAGAAGGAUAAAUAAAGUAAUUUCCUCUCUUUGUGUGUGUUGGUCUUCUUUCAGCUGCUCAAUAAAGUUUAUUUU